GUGCUCACUUCAGCAGCACAUAUACUAAAAUUAGAACGAUUUAGAGAUGAGCAUGGCUCCUGUGCAAGGAUGACAUGCAAAUCUGUGAAGCAUUCCAUAUUUUU
rnacentral:snRNA from 1 species